CACACACCAGUCGUCUCUCCAUCUACAGGCCCGCACCAUUCCUCUCCUCCACAGUGCUCCCUGAAGAGUUUGCACCACUGUCUGGCAUACAUACUGCUUUCACUCCAAAGACAAAAGACUUUGUCUGUGUCUCCAACUAGAAAAAACUGUUCUCCACACACCAGUCGUCUCUCCAUCUACAAGUCACACGCCAUUCCUCUCCUCCACAGUGCUCCCUGAAGAGAAUGAAAGUGACUUCAGUGAAGAGGAGGCAUCAGAUGAUGUAUGUGAUCCAGAAUACGUUCCAGGCUCAGAAAGUGACACAGAAGAUGAGGAACCAAUAAACAGC